GAUGAACGCUGGCGGCGUGCCUAAUACAUGCAAGUCGAGCGAACAGACGAGGAGCUUGCUCCUCUGACGUUAGCGGCGGACGGGUGAGUAACACGUGGAUAACCUACCUAUAAGACUGGGAUAACUUCGGGAAACCGGAGCUAAUACCGGAUAAUAUAUUGAACCGCAUGGUUCAAUAGUGAAAGACGGUUUUGCUGUCACUUAUAGAUGGAUCCGCGCCGCAUUAGCUAGUUGGUAAGGUAACGGCUUACCAAGGCAACGAUGCGUAGCCGACCUGAGAGGGUGAUCGGCCACACUGGAACUGAGACACGGUCCAGACUCCUACGGGAGGCAGCAGUAGGGAAUCUUCCGCAAUGGGCGAAAGCUUGACGGAGCAACGCCGCGUGAGUGAUGAAGGUCUUCGGAUCGUAAAACUCUGUUAUUAGGGAAGAACAAAUGUGUAAGUAACGAUGCACGUCUUGACGGUACCUAAUCAGAAAGCCACGGCUAACUACGG
rnacentral:rRNA from 1 species